rnacentral:misc_RNA from 1 species
CUUGGCUGUACGUUGCGCUCUUCAAACUUGUACCCUGCGCUUGCCUUUUUUCGAAGAACCGUCUUUCUUCAUUCAAAGAACCUCACACGUCGCUUCUUCCCUCUUCUUCAUCGUGUCUCUAUAUGAUCGUCUUUUCUCUUCAACAAAUUAAUCAAUCAAAAUCCAAAAUCAAAACCCUUGCGAUCUCAGCCUCCAUAAGCUAAUUCGAAAAAACCGAUCUGGAACUAUGUCUAACGCCGGUAAAGCCCCGCCGUCACCAACACAGUCGACGAGGAGGCCAGUAGAGGUGCGAUCGGUUUGGGCUGACAAUCUUGAAUCCGAAUUCAAGUUGAUCCGAUCCAUAAUCGACAGAUACCCGCUGAUCGCAAUGGAUACGGAGUUUCCUGGCAUUGUGGUCCGGCCCGCGGCCGAUGAUCCGUAUAACCGGCACCGUGAUCCGAAAGCCCACUAUCUGAACUUGAAAGCCAACGUCGAUAUGUUGAAUUUGAUCCAAGUUGGCCUCACAAUUGCAGACCAUGAAGGUAAUCUGCCGGAUCUUGGCACGAAUAGUUGCUAUAUUUGGGAAUUUAAUUUCCGCGAUUUUGAUGUGUUGCGUGACGCUCAUGCGCACGAUUCGGUUGAAAUGUUAAGAAGUCAAGGCAUAGAUUUCGAGAAGAAUCGGCAGUGCGGUAUCGAGUUGGUGAAAUUCGCUGAAUUGAUGAUGUCGUCGGGACUCGUCUUGAACGAUUCAGUGAGUUGGGUAUCAUUUCACGGCGCUUACGAUUUCGGUUACUUAGUCAAGUGCUUAACUCAGCGAGUCCUACCGGUGGAAUUAACACAGUUUCUUGACGCAGUGAGGUUGUUUUUCGGAGCUAGGGUUUAUGAUGUCAAGCAUUUGAAUCGGUUUUGCAAUUUGUAUGGCGGGUUGGACCGGGUUGGGAAGGCACUGGGUGCAAAGCGGGUUAUAGGGAAGAAGCACCAAGCCGGGUCGGAUAGCUUGUUGACGCUGCACGCGUUUCAGAAGAUUAGAGAGAAUCAAUUCAAGGAUAAGAAAUUAGACAAGUACGCCAAUGUUUUGUAUGGUUUAGAGGUGUUUACAUGAAUUUUUUUGGCUGCUGAUUGAUUGUAAAUUUGUCUUCUUUCUAUCUUAGAAAGUGGGUUCUUCUACAUUCGGUGUUUAACAAAUAUUAAUAUUAAUUGUUGAUUAAAUUCUUUUGAGUUAAAUCUAUAUUUUCUCGUUCUGCUUUGAACUCUUUGAAAAGUUUAAUGAUGUGCUUUAAUUGAAGAAUGCAUGUGCUCCCUUUUCACAUUAGGUUCUGCCUUUGCACAUAAACAUUUGGGUGAUUAUUGUGGGAAUAAUUAACUUGGUAGUUCAAAGAAUCUGAUUCAGUGUUUGUAUAUGGUAGAACUAUUGAAAAAGUUAGGAUUAAGGAAUAGAGGUGGAUUUAUCAUGUGAAGUGUAAAUAGUCUUAGAUAUGGACUAUGCUAUGUGAAUCUUUGUUUCUUGAUUUAGUUUUUCAAUAAUCUAUGUUGGCACUUAAAUCUUGGAAGUCCAUUUAGAAUAGGAACUGACAUAGUCAGUCUGUCUUUGUAUGUAGCAAUUGAAUUGCCAUCAGCAGAUUGCUUUGAAUUUCUGUAAAUCAUUCUGUUUGCCUGUUGUCAUUUAGGAUCCUGAUAGAGUUAGGAACAGAUUGUAAAUGAAAACAAGAACAGAGAGAAAUCUGUAUUGAUUCAGUAUAGCCAACCAGCCUCAGUGCAUUCAAUAUUCAAGCAACACAAUCUUUACUAUCCUAUCUUUCUUCCAAAUCUUCAAUACAGAAUUGAAAUGAGAAAAUAACAAGGAACUAAAGAAGAUAAGACAACAAGAUAAGAAUGGUUGACAAGCAACCCCCAGGAACCCGAUUCCCGUGCUAGCAAGGCUAGCCCCAGCUUAUAGCUGCAAUUCAACAAAAUGAUUUCUAGAUGCUCUCUUCGUUCUUCUCUUCUUUAUUUAUAGACU